rnacentral:misc_RNA from 1 species
GGGCUGCACUGGCGGUGAUUCGGGUGAAGGAGAAGGCAGCGCCGGCGGACGGUCGGGCGGCCGUUGCAGCUCGGGAGGUGCUGCCAUGGCGCCUAGAGAGCGAAGACGCCGAGGAUGUCGCGAAUCGAGCUGUCGCCGUCCAGGAUUUGCUCAACCCUACCAAAUUAAGGCGUUGCCACGCCGGGAUGGGAGGUGGACUGCGCGGCGGCGGAGGUGGGCAUGGACGCGCCGGCGCGGCUCACAGCAUUGGGCGGCCGUCGUGUCGGAGGUUUGCGGGGAAGAGUAAACCCACACCGCCACGGCGCCAC